rnacentral:rRNA from 1 species
UCGAGGAUCUUCGGCAAUGGGCGAAAGCCUGACCGAGCGACGCCGCGUGUGCGAUGAAGGCCUUCGGGUUGUAAAGCACUGUCGUGGGGGAGAAAACCCGCAAGGGUUGAUCGACCCCAGGAGGAAGCACGGGCUAAGUUCGUGCCAGCAGCCGCGGUAAGACGAACCGUGCGAACGUUAUUCGGAAUCACUGGGCUUAAAGGGCGCGUAGGCGGGCGGCCAAGUCGAGGGUGAAAGCCCCCAGCUCAACUGGGGAAGUGCCUCCGAUACUGGCCAUCUCGAGGGAGGUAGGGGCGUGCGGAACUUCCGGUGGAGCGGUGAAAUGCGUAGAUAUCGGAAGGAACACCGGUGGCGAAAGCGGCGCGCUGGACCUCUUCUGACGCUGAGGCGCGAAAGCCAGGGGAGCAAACGGGAUUAGAUACCCCUGUAGUCC